AUUAGGGUUCGAUUCCGGAGAGGGAGCCUGAGAAACGGCUACCACAUCUAAGGAAGGCAGCAGGCGCGCAAAUUACCCAAUCCUAAUACAGGGAGGUAGUGACAAGAAAUAACAAUACAGGACUUAAUUGUUUUGUAAUUGGAAUGAGUUAAGUAUAAACCCCUUUACAAGUAUCAAUUGGAGGGCAAGUCUGGUGCCAGCAGCCGCGGUAAUUCCAGCUCCAAUAGCGUAUAUUAAAGUUGUUGCAGUUAAAAAGCUCGUAGUUGGAUUUCUGUUAAUAUUUUAUAUUAUUAAUUUAUUAUUAUUAAUAUAAUAUUAACAUAAUUCAUAUUACUUUUUUUGAGUAUAUGAAAUUUUACUUUGAGAAAAUUAGAGUGCUUAAAGCAGGCUUUUGCCUUGAAUACUCCAGCAUGGAAUAAUAUUAAAGAUUUUUAUCUUUCUUAUUGGUUCUAAGAUAGAAAUAAUGAUUAAUA
rnacentral:rRNA from 1 species